AUAAUCCUGAUGUGUUCGUUGCACACCUAGUUUUGACCUAACAUCUUUACUACGGGAGCUUUCGUUUCUAAGCAAAGUAAAUGCCUUCUAACACGAUUGUUUAGGACUUACAAACCUUAGAACAGAGCACCCACCUGCUGUUGGCGGGAUCAAAACAAGGGAAGUUCGUAACGGCAUAAUCGGGACUUUU
rnacentral:other from 1 species